AAGAUAAGAUCUCCCUUCCGGUUUAUCCGGACUGAAGGAAACUUAAAGACUAUGAGUUUGAUAGGUCACAGGUGUAAGCAUGGUAACAUGUUCAGCCGAGUGAUACUAAUUUUCCGUGAGGCUUGAUCAAUAUU
rnacentral:rRNA from 1 species